GGAAGCGGGAGCAACCAUGCGGGCCCAAGAGCCUCAGCAACUUUUGAGCGAUGAGUGUGGUUUCCGGCCAGUCCCUGAGGGAGAGGUGUGUGUGCACCCUCUGGUCAGCUUCCUGGCACACCCCUUUCUGGCCUUUCAACAGCGCGUGAGGAGCUGAAGAGUUGGGAAG